rnacentral:rRNA from 1 species
GAUGAACGCUGGCGGCGUGCCUAAUACAUGCAAGUCGAGCGAACAGACGAGAGUGCUUGCACUCUCUGACGUUAGCGGCGGACGGGUGAGUAACACGUGGGUAACCUACCUAUAAGACUGGGAUAACUUCGGGAAACCGGAGCUAAUACCGGAUAAUAUUUAGCUUCGCAUGAAGCAAUAGUGAAAGACGGUUCUGCUGUCACUUAUAGAUGGACCCGCGGUGUAUUAGCUAGUUGGUGAGGUAACGGUUCACCAAGGCAACGAUACAUAGCCGACCUGAGAGGGUGAUCGGCCACACUGGGACUGAGACACGGCCCAGACUCCUACGGGAGGCAGCAGUAGGGAAUCUUCCGCAAUGGACGAAAGUCUGACGGAGCAAUGCCGCGUGAGUGAAGAAGGUUUUCGGAUCGUAAAACUCUGUUGUAAGGGAAGAACAAGUACGUUAGUAACUGAACGUACCUUGACGGUACCUUACCAGAAAGCCACGGCUAACUACGUG